GCGGGCGUGUCGGAGUGGCCAAACGAGGCAGACUCAAGAUCUGUUGGCUUAGUGCCUACGCAGGUUCGAAUGUAGGGGACUUGGUCCUUUGCCGAAUUUCCUGCCGCCCGCA
rnacentral:tRNA from 1 species